rnacentral:rRNA from 1 species
GACGAACGCUGGCGGCGUGCUUAACACAUGCAAGUCGAACGGAAAGGCCCUGCUUUUGUGGGAUGCUCGAGUGGCGAACGGGUGAGUAACACGUGAGUAACCUGCCCUUUACUUUGGGAUAACUUCAGGCAACUGGGGCUAAUACCGGAUAGGAGCUCCUGCUGCCUGGUGGGGGUUGGAAAGUUUCGGCGGUUGGGGAUGGACUCGCGGCUUAUCAGCUUGUUGGUGGGGUAGUGGCUUACCAAGGCUUUGACGGGUAGCCGGCCUGAGAGGGUGACCGGCCACAUUGGGACUGAGAUACGGCCCAGAUUCCUACGGGAGGCAGCAGUGGGGAAUAGUGCACAAUGGGCGGAAGCCUGAUGCAGCAACGCCGCGUGCGGGAUGACGGCCUUCGGGUUGUAAACCGCUUUCGCCUGUGACGAAGCGUGAGUGACGGUAAUGGGUAAAGAAGCACCGGCUAACUACGUG